rnacentral:rRNA from 1 species
GACGAACGCUGGCGGCGUGCUUAACACAUGCAAGUCGAACGGAAAGGCCCUGCUUUUGUGGGGUGCUCGAGUGGCGAACGGGUGAGUAACACGUGUGUAACCUGCCCUUGACUUUGGGAUAACUUCAGGAAACUGGGGCUAAUAUCGGAUAGGAGCUCCUGCUGCAUGGUGGGGGUUGGAAAGUUUCGGCGGUUGGGGAUGGACUCGCGGCUUAUCAGCUUGUUGGUGGGGUAGUGGCUUACCAAGGCUUUGACGGGUAGCCGGCCUGAGAGGGUGACCGGCGACAUUGGGACUGAGAUACGGCCCAGACUCCUACGGGAGGCAGCAGUGGGGAAUAUUGCACAAUGGGCGGAAGCCUGAUGCAGCAACGCCGCGUGCGGGAUGACGGCCUUCGAGUUGUAAACCGCUUUCGCCUGUGACGAAGCGUGAGUGACGGUAAUGGGUAAAGAAGCACCGGCUAACUACGUG